rnacentral:rRNA from 1 species
CGAAUUUCCCUUCGGGGUGCACCAGGCGCGAAAACUUUACACGCUUGAAACCGCGAUAAGGGGACCUCGAGUGCCAGGUUACAAAUCUGGCUGUCGUGAUGCCUAAAAAGCAUUGAAUAGCAAGGGCCGGGCAAGACCGGUGCCAGCCGCCGCGGUAACACCGGCGGCUCGAGUGGUAACCGUUAUUAUUGGGUCUAAAGGGUCUGUAGCCGGCCGGAUAAGUCUCUUGGGAAAUCCAGCAGCUCAACUGUUGGGCUUUCAGGAGAUACUGUCUGGCUCGAGGCCGGGAGAGGUGAGAGGUACUUCAGGGGUAGGGGUGAAAUCUUGUAAUCCUUGAAGGACCACCAGUGGCGAAGGCGUCUCACCAAAACGGACCUGACGGCAAGGGACGAAAGCUAGGGGCACGAACCGGAUUAGAUACCCGGGUAGUCCUAGCCGUAAACGAUACUCGCUAGGUGUCGGCCACGGUGCGACCGUUGUCGGUGCCGUAGGGAAGCCGUGAAGCGAGCCACCUGGGAAGUACGGCCGCAAGGCUGAAACUUAAAGGAAUUGGCGGGGGAGCAC